UUUUCCAAGGCAUCAAGCUCAGCUGGAAGCUCGUUGAGAAAAGCCCCAAAAGCGAUUCUGAUCACCGCGAUCAUCAUCCUAAGUCUAGCGGUGUUGGUUACGAGAGGAAGUCAUUUACUCUAAGCUUUGAUGAGAAGCAUAGAGAUGUAGUAAUGAACAAGUACAUUAACCACGUUCUAAGCACUUACCAGGACAUGCAGACAGAGCAGAAAACCAUCAAGAUCCAUUCCAUUGGUGGAAGGUGUUGGCAGAAGAGUGACUUAACUCAUCCAGCUUCCUUUGACUCGCUUGCAUUGGAACCUGAGCAGAAACAAGCC
rnacentral:lncRNA from 1 species